AGUUUCUAUUCAUGUGUUGAUGGAACAAAUCCUGGAUACUUCUAAAUGUCAGGCAGUGUUUUAGGCCAGGAGGCAGCAAUGACCCAAGCUGUCAAGCCCUCCUGGAGCUCACAUUAAAGAGGAAUACAAUCCUGUCAAGUGGUGAGAAAUCCUGUGAAGAAAUACGAAGUGGGUCACGUGAUAGGGUGGUGAGAGAAGAGAAGGAGGACAGAGAAGACCUUUCUGAUGAGGUGACAUGAGCAAAGACUGAUGCAGUGCGGGAUGAGCAAACUCCAUGUUGGAAGAGUCCAAGGAGGGCAGUGUGGUCCAGUGAGGGGUUACAAUCUCCCCUCAUUCUCUGGUUUUCCAGCUUCUUGGCUUUUGUCUUCAUUCCUGUGACCAUCAGAACUGUGAGAAGUUGGCCUUAAAGGAACCACUGACAUUUGGGGAUGUGGCUGUGGCCUUGACCCAGCUUGAGUGGAGGCACCUGGAUGCUGCUCAGCGGGCCCUGCACAGGGAUGUGAGGCUGGAAAACUAGGAAUCUGGUGUCUGUGGGGCUUCUGUGUUCCAAAACUAAUUGCUCAGUUGGAACAAGAGGCAGAGCCCUGGAUGGAGGCCUGAGAGGUCCCAGUGGGGCCUUGUGCAGCUGUUUAGUUCCUGCUGGCGAUGUCCUGGAUUCCACUGGUGUCAGACCCUGUGGACCACUCCUGAUCAGCUAUCACUCUCUGUUUCCUUCAUUCCAAACCUCAACUCCUCUAAUGGGGUGGUCCAGCAAGCCUUGACUGUAGUCGUCCAUCUUGUCCUGGAUCUGUCUUUUGAAUCUUUAAUUCCUUUUCCCUUUUGCUUUCCUUAGGUUUAUUUACUUUUUCUUAACAUUUUUAGUUAUUUACUUAAUUCAUUGAAUUUUCUUCUUUGUUAUUUAUGUAAUACAAAUAUUUAAAGUCUUGAAGUUUUGUCUGUACAAUGUUUUUAUUGUAUUUAAUAAGUUAUAACAUAUAGUGAUUUCGUUAUCAUUUUUUAGAUAUUUUGCAAUUUGUGUUUUGAUUUCAGUGAUUGAAAUGUUAAGAGACUUAUAAGCUAGCCUUUUCUUUGUUAAAGCCUACAAAAGUUGGUAACCAACACUAGGUCAAAAAAUAGAACAUUGGCAAUACCCCGGUAAAUCGCAUGUUGAUUCCUCCAAUCAUUAUCCAUUCCCCUUCCCCUGAACUGACACUAGUUUAUUUUUACCUGUUUUCAAACUUUAUAUGAAGUUAAAUGGAAUCAUAGAGUGUAUAUAUUAUUUUGUCUGGCUUAUACAUAACAUUUUGUGGAAUUAAUCCAUUUCUGUUCAUUUUUUUGCUGUGGUUCAGUGGUUUUUAAAACUCUGGUCUGCGUCAGAUGCAUGUUGAAGUGCAGUCACUGGGUCCUACCCUCCGAGAUCAUUAUUCAUCACGUCAGUAAGAGAACUCCGGCCAAUGAUUAAUCCCACUGUGGCUGGAGGAAUUGGACCGAAUACACCUGUAUGUACUUUACAUAUGCCAGCAGAUGGCAUUAGAAGACCAUUAUCAUGGAUGGAAGAUCUAAGGCUGCACUCCUGCUCCUGGCAGGUAAGUCAGCAACCUUUCAUUUUGGGGAAUCUAGCUUUAAAAUUGUCGUGGGGCUGCUGGCCGGGGCUGUCUAUUGCCACAUUGUUUUCUGAGUCUGCAGCUGCCAGGUUGGGAAUCGUUGGGCAAGAUUGUCUCCUGUAUUGUUUUUCUUGGGGCCCUGGGCAGGGCCCCAUCCCCCGUUUCCCUGGUCCAUAAAGGAGUGGCCGUCAGCAUGAAAUUUAGAAUGGCAUCCAUCAGUCCAGUGAUACCCUUUACCAAAGCGAAGGCAAAGUCCAGGAGCAGGACCAGUCAGGUGACAAUUAUUAGUUGUUCUCGGUGGUUGUUUACAAUCUGUUUUAAAAUAACCUUUUUGGUCACAAUUACAACAUUUAGAGGCUGUUUUUUGUCCUCCAGGGCAUUGUUCCUGGAUAACCUCAGCCAAUAGUUGCAUUUUUGUGUCUGAUCCAACAGGCUUUCAUAUAUUCCUCUAAAGGAGUGCCGCUGGAUUUGAAAGGGUGCAGAAGCCACCGAGGCUCAGAGUCGGCGUCAUCAAAAGCCAGCAUACACAACAACAUAUUUCCUAACUCAGGAGGCCUAACCAUUUUUUGCAUAACAUCCUGCAAUCUAGUAAUGAAAUCCAGAUAACGUUCACUAGCAGUUUGUUUAACAUUUACACAAGAAGGCACAGUUUGUCCAAGUGGGGUUAUCUUCUCCCAUGCUCUAAGACAGCACUGCCAGACUUGAGCAAUAGCCUGAUCAUCAUAUUUCAAUUGAGCAUCUAUGCCAAAUCAUUUUCCUUGUCCUGUAAUUUGUGCUGCUGAAAUACCUGUUAGAGGAUCUUAGGACUGAUUAUGCUAUGCUUGCUGACGAGCUUAGUCACCCCACCAGAUAGUGAACUGAAGAAAUUCAGAUGGAGAUACGACUAUCUGAGCAAACAUUUCCCAGUCCCAAGGAAUUAAUCAUUCCACUUGAGCCAAUCUCUCAAGCAAGCCUUUCGUAUAAGGAGAGUUAGUUCCAUAAGAAACACAGGCUUGUUUUAAUUCUUUCAAAGUUUUAAGUGAUGGCUCAUGAAUAUAGCAUGGGGUCCAAGUUGCUCGCGCCACCUGGCCUUGAUCAUCAGAAUCUGAAUCUGGCUGUACUAUAGCAACCGGGACAAGACAAGCUUCCAGGUCUCCCCUCAGCUGUGCCUCUCUUAUGGCUUCCUGAAUGCCUCCUUGAGUUCUUGUUUGUUUUUUAGGAGCCUUCUUUAAAGCCUUUUUAAGGGGAGGAUCAUGUUUCAGGGAAAAGUCAGCAUAAGAAAGCAGCUGUGCAAAGGGUGAGAACUUGGCGCAGGGAAGUCUCUAUCUGAGGUCUUGCCUUUACUUUCAGUUUCACAAGGAGCCAAGGGAAGGGGAAGCAGAAAUUCAUCUUCAGAAUUUUUCCACUCCUUCAUUCUCUCUAUUGAUCCAUACUGAGGACCAGCAGCCAAAUUUAGCAGCUUUUCUUCAUCCUUGCCUGAUGCAUGUGGAAGAUCUUAUAUAACCUCCUCUUCCGUAUGAAAGCCGGGCUCUGGAUCAGACACUGUCUUUAUUUUAGGAUAGGAGUGAGCCAUCUCAUUAUCAGUCUAAGUCUGAUUGAAAUGGUUUCAGAGCCUGAGUAAUUAAGGAGCAAAGUUGUCACACAGAAAAAGGGACCUUCUCUCCUCUCUGGUGCGUGUGCCACAGUGCUCUGAUGGCCGGCCGCCACUGUCUGAGUGCACCUGGAGAGGGAAACCAAUAGCAGGGUUUGGAAACUAAAUGAAAGAGGUCCUCAAAAGUUUUAUGCUUGGCAACCACCCCAGAACUCUGUAACAGAGUCUGCAACAAUUCAGUGUACUCAGUAAUUUAGACUGAUUCUGCCACAUUGUUACCCUGACUGAACAAUCCCCAGAGCUGAGCUCACCCCUCCUGGGCACCAUGGCUCAGAUCCUUCUCCAGGUCUCUGUGACACUGUAUGGGAAUCUCCUUCACUCCGGUGAAGCCUUCUGCUUUUAGGACUCUGCUCACUGCACCAGUUGCCGGGAGUUAGUUACUCUCCCAGCAAAACAGGUCCCAGGCAGGAUCAUCACAAGAGAUUUGGAAAUAAUAGAGAUGGAGACAAAGUGUAGUUUAAAGUGGUGGGGAAAUCAGAGGUCCCUCAGCAUUCCUGUGAGCCAGGAGGCACUGAGUGAAGUCUCACAUCCAUAUUGGUACAGAAAUUAGUUGUUAGUGAUUGUAGAUUUAUAUGUACAAAUUAUUUGUUUAGGUUUCAUGGCUCCCCAAAGGUUUCAAGGGAUCCCUUAAUUAAUUCUAUCUACAUGAGCAUAUGGUUACAAAAUUUUUCAAAGAUAAGCUUCUUAAGCACUAAGAACAGACCUAGCUGAGCAUACAAGUUAAAGAUAAAAUUGCCAAUUAGCAGUAAAGCUAAAACAGAAACAUAAAGACAAUAUAUUUUUUUUAUUUAGCUCCUCAUUAACUGAGACAUGUGGUCAGGACUGAAACAGUAACUGUCCUUCAGGCUAAUUGGUUUCAGCUGCAGGUGUCUGCUGGGCUGACAUUCUUUGAUUAGUCCUUAACCUGCGGCCCAUGCCGAGCUCUGCCAUGCACAAGCUCCAGGCGCUGGCCUGCAGGCCUUGGGACAGGUGCUGCCUUGCUGCAUUCCACCUGCAUUCCACCUGAUCGGUGGAAUGCCCCCCUUGUUUCUAAGCAGCUUCUGGUCUGUGAACUAACACGCCCACAGAUUCCUUCAAGGAGAAGCCCUGCAAAACUCCUGCAACUUUCAACGUCUUUAGCUCUAUUUCCAAACAUGCCUCCACUUCCCUUUCUCCUGUACAGCACCGCCCCCCCCAUACUUUCAUUUCUUCUCCAGCCCAGCUAGCCUAACACGCACAGCACUGGUGUGAGCAUAUGUGCAGGUGUCGAUGACUGAGUGUGCCCAGGCUGGUCUGUUCUCAUUGCUAUCACACAGGGAGGUGCACCAGAAGCCCCUGACAGCUUCAUUUAAAACACACUUGGCUGCCUUUCUUCUCCUAAUCCUUGCUGAACAACAGUCUCCAGGGCUGGGCUGGGGCAAGUGCAAUUUGAAAACAUGUCUCUUGGAAAUUGAGACACAUGUUACCUCAGCCAUCUGCAGGAAGGCAGUGGAGAGGACAGGCUGGGAGCACUGACUGCCGGAAUCACACUGGGCCUGACUCUGGACAAGCAGCCUCACAUUGCUUGGAAUAUGGACUGGGCCAUGCUCAGGAAGCUGUUACUAGGACACAUUGAGAGAAAGUUUGUCAAGUAUUUAACACAGUGCCUAGCUCAUAGUAAGUACAUGGUCAAUAUUAGUUUUCAUUAAAUUAUUGCUUUCCUCUAGGACUGACAUAGCCUUUCUCAAUUUCCCUACAGUGCUUAGGAUAGGCCUUCCCUGUGGCAGACAUCAGCCCAUGCAGUGAACCCGUAUGGCCGACACAAACAUGCCACGACUCCUCCCAACCUGCAGAGCAAUCCUCUAUAUUGGACCCACUCCCCCUCCAGCGAGCACUCCAUUUCUUUUCUUCUCUUUAUAGGAAAAUUCACCAAAUACUUUUCUAUACUCACCUUCUAUAAUUCCUCCAAUUCUGUCAUCUUUCACUAAAGAAAUUUCAAAUAUACAUUUUGCCAAUAUUCAAUUUUCCAACCUCUUAAUUUUUUUGCUUAUUUUAAAGCAAACCCCAGAAAUCAUGUCAUUUCACCUAGUAGACUAUAUCUCUAACAAAUGAGAACUCUUAAAAGACAAUCCUUACCACAUCUAACAAAAUAACAAUAUUUCUCUAACAUCAGUUAAUACCUUACCUGUGUUCAAAUUUCUCCGAUUGCUGUAAAGUUGCUUCAUUUGAAUCAGGACCUAAUUGAGGCCUUAUAUUUGGUUGAUUUUUCUCUUGACACUCUUCUCCCAACUCUCUGGAACCCACACUAUUUAAGGCUCUAUUGCUCUAUGAAAACUAUACUUUUCAAGGUCAACAAUAACCUGGAUGUUGCUAAAGCUGACGGAGGGUUCUCCGUCCUCACUUCCCCAACCCGUCGGCAGCAUUGGCUCUGUGGGCCAUGCCCUCAUGGGGAAGCCCUCCUUGCUGGAACACGCAGGCAGGCACAUCUCCUGGUCUUCCGCCAGCCCCCACCUGGCUGCUGCUCCCCAGCUGCCAUCCCUACCUCUGAGCACUAGUGUGCACCAGGGCGCCACUCCUGUCUUCUUUAGUUUUCUUUUCUCACCCUUGGUGGAGUUGUCCAGGAUCAAGUAUUUAAAAGCAUCGAGAGUUUAUAUCUCUAGCCCAUUCCAAGCGCCCACUGAACAUCUCCAAACGAAUGUCUAAUAGUUGUCUCAAACUUAAUCUGCCAAAAGCUCCAUCCCCAUCCCUCCUGCCCUCAGACUUCUGCAUCUCAUGCUCCUGAUAACUUUGGCCCCAACCUUGGACUCCACUCCUCUUUCACACCCCACACUGACCCCUCAGGAGGCACUGACAGGCAGGCCCUGUCACCUGAAGACUCUAAGCAUGGCUGGGUGGGUGGGCAGAUGUGUUCAAACAGAGACACUGUGGUCACAUGGAGCCAGAACCUUUAGACAAGGUAAUAUAUUUCCAUGGCAAGGGGACUUUGCCAGGUCAGGUUGAGGUCCUGGCUCCAGGCAGGAAAGGGAUAAUAAUUCUGUAGAUGCCAUGAGCCUUGAUUGAGCAAAUAAAGAAGAGGAAGCUAUGUUUUCUGCUUUCAUUAAAGGGCAAAAGCAGUGGGGACAGAGCUUAGCAAGAGUCAGUAAGCAGGCAGAGGAAGAAUUUUAACUCCUUGGGUGUUUUCUUCCAUGAUACCUCUGCACUCACCCACCCCCAUAUUGUGGCUUCUUUGGCCUGCCCUCCAAGGCCACCACACCUGUGUGUCCCUCAGCUGAAGGAGGGGGAGAAACCAGGCUGCAUAUCAAUGUAAUCAGAUGGCAAUGAAAUGAUUUGUUAUUUCUCAGUAUGAGGUUCCCUGGGGCUUCUGCCCCUCUUGGAAUUGGGCAGGAAGAAGAGAUCCGGGGAUGAGACAAAGAGUGGUGAAAUGACACUUCUACCCAGUGCCUGGUCCCCGGAAACCCUCACCACCUCUAGCCCCUCGCGCAGCUGCACUCUCACUGUAGCAAGGCCACAGGAGAAAAGAGAAAUGAUUCACAGUGAAAGUAUGGUCAGGAGACCCUCUGGGCCAUCUCUUCCUCCUUCUUCAGCAGGCCCAGUAGAAAACCGAGGCGGCAGGGAGCUCCCCAGGAGAAAGAGC